rnacentral:rRNA from 1 species
UAGGGAAUAUUGGACAAUGGGGGCAACCCUGAUCCAGCCAUGCCGCGUGAGUGAAGAAGGCCCUCGGGUUGUAAAGCUCUUUUGUCCGGAAAGAAAAGCUUCGGGUUAAUACCCCGGGGUUCUGACGGUACCGGAAGAAUAAGCACCGGCUAACUUCGUGCCAGCAGCCGCGGUAAUACGCAGGGUGCAAGCGUUACUCGGAAUUACUGGGCGUAAAGCGUGCGUAGGUGGUCGUUUAAGUCUGAUGUGAAAGCCCUGGGCUCAACCUGGGAAUGGCAUUGGAAACUGGGCAGCUAGAGUGCGGUAGAGGGUAGUGGAAUUCCCGGUGUAGCAGUGAAAUGCGUAGAGAUCGGGAGGAACAUCUGUGGCGAAGGCGACUGCCUGGACCAGCACUGACACUGAGGCACGAAAGCGUGGGGAGCAAACA